rnacentral:rRNA from 1 species
GACGAACGCUGGCGGCGCGCCUAACACAUGCAAGUCGAACGGCGCUGCGAGAAGCUUGCUUUUCUUCGCUUAGUGGCGAACGGGUGAGUAACGCGUGCGUAACCUGCCCUGUAGUGGUGGACAACAGUUUGAAACGACUGCUAAUACCGCAUAAUCCCACGUUCCGGCAUCGGCUUGAGGGAAACGGAUUUUUUCCCUUCAGGAUGGCCUCGCUCCCAAUUAGCUAGUUGGUGAGGUAACGGCCCACCAAGGCGACGAUAGCUACACGGACUGAGAGGUUGAACGCCGACAUUGGGGCUGAGCCACAGCCCAGACUCCUACGGGAGGCAGGAGAGGGUGAUAUUGCACAAUGGGGGAAGUCCUGAUGCCGCUACGGUGCGUGAGGGAAGAAGGUUGUCGAAUAGUAAACUCCUGUCGUAAGGGACGAUAAUGACGGUACCUAACAAGAAAGCACCGGCUAACUACGUG